ensembl:lncRNA
GUUAGAUACAUUAGUAGCUAUAAACAGUAAUUUAAACAUUAGAAAAAUACGUAUGUGGGUUUGAGUGCCUAUGUGUAUAGUAGAAAUAUAAGGAACAGGUAAUGUUUAUUUAUGCUGGUGAAAUGUUUGUAUGUUGUGUGUAUGUUGCAGUAUCAGUGCUUGGAUGAGGCUGUCCCGCGGGCAAAGCUUUUUAGACAAAGCCUGCAAGUGGGUGAGAUGGGGAUGAAGCUGGUGGACCGGCUUGUGAGGCAAAAUCGUGCCUUCAAGCAGCAGGCGGCAUGGUCCGCGAAGCGGGCUGAAACAAGAGAUAAAGCCAUCCAGCAGUUGAAGGCUGAUAAUGCCAAACUUAAAGAACAGUUGAUGGCAGCUCGAUGUGAGGUCACUGAUGCAGAAAUGCUACAGGUGGUAAUGGAGGUAGAGAAGGGUAAGUUGUAAAUGUUGUGGUUUGUUACAUUCACGGUUUGCCUUUAUAUGUGAGUGUAAUAGAAUUGUUAUAAUGUGUUUUCCUGUGUUGUUUAUGUUAUUUGUUGUAGGAGUGGUGGAGGUGUUGGAGGAGGUUAAGUUGUAAAUGUGGUAGUUUAGACUUGAGACUUUUAUUUAUCUCACAUCAGGGAAAUUAACUUGUCACAGUAGCAGGUAGACACACAUAUAGAUUUAUAAAUUUAAAUAAACUGUAAGAAUAUUGGCUUGUUGAGGUUGGAUGCAUAUAUAAAUAGUGUUUAAAUGCAGUAUUUUAAAAUAAACAGAGUCAGUGUAUGAAUAUGAAUAUGUACAAAAAAGAAAACAGUAUCAUUGCACAGAAUAAUUGCACAAGAUGGCGGAGGUAGAAGUGUAAGUAGUGCAAGAUAAGUAGUUGCUUAUGGUGUUAUGUUAAGUGUUAUAGGUGUUGAACAGUCUGACAGCAGUUGGAAUGAAUGACCUGCAGUAGAGUUUGUUUUUACACCGUGGAUGAAGCAGUCUGUUGCUGAAGGAGCUGCUUAAGGCCCCCACAGUCUCAUGUAGUGGGUGAGAGGGGUUGUCCAUAAUUGAUGUCAGCUUAGCUAACAUCCUCCUCUCACCCAUCUUAUUAAUGGUGUCCAGAGGAUAGUCCAAGACUGAAACAGCUGUUUUCACCAGCUUAUUUAGUCUCUUGUUGUCCGUCUUUGAGCUUUCACAGCUCAGAGAGGGACAGGAAGAGAGGCAAAAGACUAUAAUGAGAUUCUUUGUUUCAUUCAAGCUUUGCCUUUAUAUGUGAGUGUAAUUGAAGUAAUAAUUUAUUUGCUUGUGUUGUUUAUGUCAUUUGCUGUAGGAGGAGAAGGUGUGGUGGCAGGAGGAGGAGAAGAUGUGGCAGGAGUCUGAGGAGUUUGUGUUUGUUUUGUUAUUUGUCUUCGUUUAAUAAAUGUUGUUUACAUACGUGUUUGUCUCCUUGUGUAUACAACUUCUAUGGUGAUUAGGGUGUUAGGAAUUGUCAUAAGUGUUCACACACAAAACAGUGGUAAUAUUACCAUAUUGGGUAAAGAAAAGAAUAGCACUCCAGAGGUGUUAGUGUUAGCCAUUAGUUAUUUGUGUUUCUGAAAGAAGGAAAUUAAUUUUUCUGAUGUUGUAAUGUUGCAUAUGAGAGGUGGUUUGUUUUAUAAUGACAAAGUUAAAUUAGUAGUAUGUACAACUAUUUUCUUAUAUUGGUUAAAAUA